rnacentral:rRNA from 1 species
AGAGUUUGAUCAUGGCUCAGAUUGAACGCUGGCGGCAUGCCUUACACAUGCAAGUCGAACGGCAGCACGGGAGCAAUCCUGGUGGCGAGUGGCGAACGGGUGAGUAAUACAUCGGAACGUGUCCUGUAGUGGGGGAUAGCCCGGCGAAAGCCGGAUUAAUACCGCAUACGAUCUGUGGAUGAAAGCGGGGGGAUCUUUGGACCUCGCGCUACAGGGGCGGCCGAUGGCAGAUUAGCUAGUUGGUGGGGUAAAGGCCUACCAAGGCGACGAUCUGUAGCUGGUCUGAGAGGACGACCAGCCACACUGGGACUGAGACACGGCCCAGACUCCUACGGGAGGCAGCAGUGGGGAAUUUUGGACAAUGGGCGAAAGCCUGAUCCAGCAAUGCCGCGUGUGUGAAGAAGGCCUUCGGGUUGUAAAGCACUUUUGUCCGGAAAGAAAACCUCGUGGUUAAUACCCGUGGGGGAUGACGGUACCGGAAGAAUAAGCACCGGCUAACUACGUGCCAGCAGCCGCGGUAAUACGUAGGGUGCAAGCGUUAAUCGGAAUUACUGGGCGUAAAGCGUGCGCAGGCGGUUCGCUAAGACAGAUGUGAAAUCCCCGGGCUUAACCUGGGAACUGCAUUUGUGACUGGCGGGCUAGAGUAUGGCAGAGGGGGGUAGAAUUCCACGUGUAGCAGUGAAAUGCGUAGAGAUGUGGAGGAAUACCGAUGGCGAAGGCAGCCCCCUGGGCCAAUACUGACGCUCAUGCACGAAAGCGUGGGGAGCAAACAGGAUUAGAUACCCUAGUAGUCC